CCAAAAUUGUGAGAUUUGUUAGUUUCAUCAUUAUUUUUGUGAUGAUUUCUUCCUUGUUGGUUUCAACAGUGAAACCAAAACCAAAGAAUCCUGCAAAGCCACAAACUCCUCCGACACCGCUGCCACCAUAUAGAAGACCGUGUGAUCCGGUUUAUAUAAAAGCGCUGCCUGGAGCAUGUCAUAAAUUAAAUGGAGAUGAAUUAUGCCAAGAUGUUUGCGGAGGACUUAAAUAUUUAAACGGUUAUCAAUUCUCAAAAUGUGCGGCAGAUAAAAAGUUCUGCGAAUGUCGCAAUUGUUUCUAAGUUCCUAAAUACUGCUUUCCGAACUUACUAAAAUAUUAAAGUGUUGGUUCAAUUAUCCA